UACAGAGACAUCAAGCGUUAUCCGGAAUCAUUGGGCGUAAAGCGUACCGAUAGGUGGUUGAAAUAGUCUUGGGUAAAAGCCGGAAGCUCAACUUCCGCGUUUGCUUAAGAUACUUUUCGGCUAGAGGGGCAAAGAGGUGCUUGGAACCAACGGUGUAGUAGUGAAAUGCGUUGAUAUCGUUGGGAACACCGAAAGCGAAGGCAGAGCACUGGGUGCCACCUGACACUGCUAGGACGAAAGCGUGGGGAGCGAACAGG
rnacentral:rRNA from 1 species